rnacentral:rRNA from 1 species
AUUGAACGCUGGCGGCAUGCUUUACACAUGCAAGUCGAACGGUAACAGGCCGCAAGGUGCUGACGAGUGGCGGACGGGUGAGUAAUGCAUCGGAACGUGCCCAGUCGUGGGGGAUAACGCAGCGAAAGCUGUGCUAAUACCGCAUACGAUCUGUGGAUGAAAGCGGGGGACCGUAAGGCCUCGCGCGAUUGGAGCGGCCGAUGUCAGAUUAGGUAGUUGGUGGGGUAAAGGCUCACCAAGCCGACGAUCUGUAGCUGGUCUGAGAGGACGACCAGCCACACUGGGACUGAGACACGGCCCAGACUCCUACGGGAGGCAGCAGUGGGGAAUUUUGGACAAUGGGCGCAAGCCUGAUCCAGCAAUGCCGCGUGCAGGAAGAAGGCCUUCGGGUUGUAAACUGCUUUUGUACGGAGCGAAAAGGCUCUCUCUAAUACAGGGGGCUCAUGACGGUACCGUAAGAAUAAGCACCGGCUAACUACGUGCCAGCCGCCGCGGUAAUAC